UACAGAGGGUGCGAGCGUUAAUCGGAAUUACUGGGCGUAAAGCGCACGUAGUCGGCUUGUCAAGUCGGGUGUGAAAUCCCCGGGCUCAACCUGGGAACUGCAUCCGAAACUGACUUGCUAGAGUAUGGGAGAGGGAGGCGGAAUUUCUGGUGUAGCAGUGAAAUGCGUAGAUAUCAGAAGGAACAUCAGUGGCGAAGGCGGCCUCCUGGACCAAUACUGACGAUCAGGUGCGAAAGCGUGGGGAGCAAACAGG
rnacentral:rRNA from 2 species